UCGGGGGGAAAUGAGCGCAGAAGCAGGACAGGUGCUUUCAGGUGAUUUAAUUACGUACAGUUACUGCACAAUUAGACUCUGUUAUGAAUCGGGGUCACCGUGACCAUGCUCAGUCAGAAUAAAUCCAUCUCUCAGCGCUCUCGCAUGGAGACGGAGAGGGAAAUCACAUUUACACCAACGUCGGCGCGUACGCUCCUCUCCGCGGUGUAACGGUCCGUCAUCGGGUCUCGGCAGACUUUCUGAGAAGGUUCAGCAUCAUGGAGACUCGUUACGGCCCCGCCUCGCCUCUCAUCGUACCGCCUUUCAUCUCAUCGGCGUGAUGACGGAUAAAAACCCACCGCCGGCGUGACCCGUAUCCGCGUUCUGUACUCUGACGAGGCGUCCAUCGGCCGCGCACGCUAAACACGCAGCGCGACAAAACACCGGACGGGUCGAGCGUUACUUUUCUUUUCCGGUGGAAGAACGCAUCAUAAACGUAUGAUCUCAGAAUAAUCUGAAGGAUGAAAGUCAUGGGAGACCGAUUAAUGAACGUCCUGUGACCUGGACGCAACAAAAAAAAAAAGGAAGUUAAAUUGGGGAUUUUCUGAGGCUUAAUGAUAAAACGCGCCAGAUAAAGAACGCAAUCUGCUCCGUCAACGAGACUUCGAGUCAAAUGCUAUAGACGCACCGAUACGAUAUUACGCUCCGAUACACACACACACACACACACACACACACACACACGUAUUAACGUCAUCCGUUCUAUCAUGUGACACAAGCGUAGUGACGUUGCGCUAUUAAAGCCAGACGACAGGAAACAACCGCGAUCUGGACAAGAAACCAAUCAAUCCUCUGGAUCAAAUCGCUCCUCUUUAAUAAUGACGCCAUGUCCACAUUAACCCGGAUCCAUCUCAGAACACCUUCUCCCGCUACGUCUUUUGAAAACGCGGCUUUCGCGGACCGGGAAAACAGACCCAUUCCAUUCAUAAUGAUGUAUCUGUGGUCAUGUGACUCGACUCAACUCAAACAAGAUGGCGGACGACGUGGUGCUGCAGUUGUCGUGCCUGAUAUCCAGUCUGAUAGCUUUGUUGAAGAUUAACGUCACUUUCGACAACCUUCAGCUCGCGUUUUUACCCCAAAACCACUUUAAUCGCUGUGCUACGGCACUCGAGUCUGUUCAGAUCGCGUCAGAGGCGAAUCUGCUGUGGAAAACACUCGCACCAGAAUCGAAUCAUGACUCUCACAGACUUUUGUUUUUACUUUUAGUACAACGCAGAAAUAAAUACUUAGAUCAUGAUUUUUAAAUUUUUUUUUUUUUUUUUAACGAGCCACAACCUCAGCCUGAGCCGUUUGUUUUUGUUAACAUGGACCUCGUCAGCCAUUUUAGACACUCCCCAAACACCCACACACUCCGCCCACACCUCAGUCUGAAAUCAGCCAACGCCCAGCGCAGCCUGAUAACCAACCAUUACAAAGAAAAACGGGACGGCGAAGGCUUGGCGGUCGUAAGUGAUGUCACGACAGUCCGGCUAACAAUAACGCUAGCUGAAGUGCCGUAAUUCUGUGGGCGGAGCCUUGUGUACACGCAUACUGCACCUUUAAACGUGUAAACAUCUCACCGACUGCACCUGCUACAGAAGACGUUUACAUAAUCUGAUAUAAAGAAACGAACGCAUCCCGCAUACGGUACCGUACCAAAAGUACCGAACUCGAGCUACAGGACAGUCUGCCGCAUCGAACCUGAUCCUUCAUCCAGACGGGCGCAGACGUGGAACCUUCUCCUCUUACACACGUCUCUACAGACCCUUCACACAGACUAGCUGAAUAAUACAAGGACCUCGGCACGUCUCUCUCCCGCACACUCGCACACUUCUAGACGAGACCUCCGACACGACGGCGGCACCAGAGAAGGCUCCGGAAAAUACCGCACCCUCUACAGACCGAGCGCCGACCAGCCAACCACGGGGCCGAGACGAUAACGCGGCAGCAGACUCGGCUCCCGUUCCACAAAUCCCUGAAUUUCUUCUCGCGCCGUAAACACCGUCGGUCGCUCGGCUCCUGCAAACACGCGCUCCACGUCCACGGUGCGAACAGCGGCAGGAAUUUCAGCAGCUGCGCUGCAACCCCGAAUCAACCGACAGGGACGCCGAGGCCGAGGCUUUUAAAGACGUGAAAAAGGAACGAACAAUUUUCCCCUCAAGGUUCCACAUACGGUUCGUCCGGGAUUCCCCGAGCGCAGAAAUCAACUCAAAAUCAAGGAAACUCAACAGAUUUGGCCCAAGACGUGUCACGUGACAUCCUAACGUGCAUUCAGCCAAAUCCCUCUCCCAUUCACGCGCGUCUAAAAGCUCUCGUUUACCAGCAAACAUCACUGCGAAAGAAUUUCUUGCGAUUUCACCGGAUCGCGUUAAAAAAAAACAAAAAAAACUGCAAGCUGCAUCGUGGAUUUUGAAAAUAAAUAAAUAAAUAAAUAAAUAAAUAAAUAAAUAAAUAAAUAGAGCGUUUUUUUGGCCACGACGAUUACAAAAACAAACCCCGGAGAGACCCUGUACGGACCGCUCCGCAUCACCGUAUCCGAGGUUACGCGCGUGCGUGGGGCGAGGUUUGGUCGAGAAACGAGUCCAGUCAGCUCACUCAGCUUCUCAAAUCAUUCCGUCUGUACUGCACAGAUUUAAAUUCUUUCCGUCACGUGUUCACGUGAAAUGAACGUUCGCUAUUCCGGUCGGAUUAUCAGACACCGGGAAUAAAAAUCUGGAUAAAUCUGUAACUGGAUGCAUGUUUAUUUCCUCCAUCAGGCCAAGAUAAAUCACAUCACAUCACAUCACAUGACAUCACGCAGGACAAAAAAAAAAGCUUCCAUCGUUUUCACAUUAUGGAGAGAAAAAACGAAUGGAUAUCUGACUCGAGUGCGAUCGAUGGCGCUAUUUAAACCUCACGUUUCCACUCGCCGUCUUACUCUUCCCUUCUUCCCAGAAGCAAUUAAGCUGAGUACGGUUUGACUGAACGCGUCUCGGAGCUGCCCACGCUGCAGCUCGCCAUAAAGCGCCGGAGUGAUGUGGAAACGCUGAACCGUGCCAAAGUGUCCGUCUUUCAAACAUGAACUCGCUCACACCGCGCCGUGCCUUACUGGACUUUCUAAAAACACUACCACCAGUAACACUUCACGCUCACGAUCGUUAACUCCUCCAUUCGAACACAAACCGAGCAGUAGAAACCUGCGCCGGUCCGAUCGUAUAACGAGGCAUUACGGCGUCAUAUACGGAGCACGAGUUCCAAUCGUUUAUUUAUUUCAGUUACACACGGAGUUAUGGAUGUUCGGCUGCACAGCUGAUUCUUAUUAACCA
ensembl:lncRNA